rnacentral:rRNA from 1 species
GCCAAAUAGGUGGCGGCGGGCGGGGGUAUAGGGUGGGUGUGGGCGUUUGCCGGAAGUGGUGGGGGUAAAGGGGUCGUAGGCGGUCUGUUACGGCGGGAGUGAAAGCAGGGGGCGUAACCUCGGGCCCGCUUCCGAUACGGGCGGACUAGAGGUAUGCAGGGGAGAACGGAAUUCCUGGUGUAGCGGUGAAAUGCGCAGAUAUCAGGAGGAACACCGGUGGCGAAGGCGGUUCUCUGGGCAUUACCUGACGCUGAGGAGCGAAAGUGUGGGGAGCGAACAGGAUUAGAUACCCCAGUAGUC